GAUGAACGCUGGCGGCGUGCCUAAUACAUGCAAGUCGAGCGAACCACUUCGGUGGUGAGCGGCGAACGGGUGAGUAACACGUAGGUGAUCUGCCCAUCAGACGGGGACAACGAUUGGAAACGAUCGCUAAUACCGGAUAGGACGAAAGUUUAAAGGUGCUUCUGGCACCGCUGAUGGAUGAGCCUGCGGCGCAUUAGCUAGUUGGCAGGGUAAAGGCCUACCAAGGCGACGAUGCGUAGCCGACCUGAGAGGGUGAACGGCCACACUGGGACUGAGACACGGCCCAGACUCCUACGGGAGGCAGCAGUAGGGAAUCUUCGGCAAUGGGCGAAAGCCUGACCGAGCAACGCCGCGUGAAUGAUGAAGGCCUUCGGGUUGUAAAAUUCUGUUAUAAGGGAAGAACGACUUUAGUAGGAAAUGGCUAGAGUGUGACGGUACCUUAUGAGAAAGCCACGGCUAACUACGUGCCAGCCGCCGCAGUAAGAC
rnacentral:rRNA from 1 species